CUAGGUAGUAAUGUUGAUUGUUCGCUUGCCAGCUGACACCUGAAACACUUUUAGGUGCACCUGGACCCUUUCCUUGAUAGAAAAAAAGCCUUAAGAUAGAGUUAUUGCAGUUGGGCACGUGUCAUCUGACUGUCAUUUCUCCCCUAGACGCCUAUGUCCCCUUCUAGGACAUGGUAAUGCCCCCAGGGACCGUGUUAUUUCGCUGUCAGUUGGUUCCACUUCUGUCGAAUCUCCUGUUAAAACCUGGCUACCCAGAUAUCUGGUAGCUUGAGGACUGGAGGUCAAGGGUGGAUCACAAUGUUUGACCCUGGUACUGCUACCUGCUGGUGCCUUCCGACGCACCAUGCCCCAUGUCCCCGUGACACGUAGAUGCAAUGUAAGGAGGCAGAUUUGCAUCCUGUUAUUUGCUAGCAUCAUUAGCUGAAUGUCAUUUGAGAAAAAAAGUUUGAGGCCAUUUCUGUACGUUGGAAAAAGUUAAAUUGCAAAGACUGCCUCAGGGACUCCUGAACACUUAUUUUGCUUGUUUCUUUUUCUGAUUAGUUCUUUGAGGUUUUCCGUUUUGCUUCAGACCUUCAUUUCGUCAGGACAAAAGAUGUUUCUCCAGCUACAUGUGGCUGAGCGGACAGUGUUGGAUAGAAAAAGUGUAAGGAGGCAGCUGGCAUACGAACUCGGUGCUGAUGAAGACCGUCUGAAACCUUUCUUCUUAGCCUGAACACUGGAAACACUCCUGAGGCCUGGAGGAAAUGGAUCAUUGCCUCUGCUUUUGAAGCCUCUUUUCCUUUCAUCUGCUUCCAGGGAGCAACCCCACGUCUCCUGCUGCCUUCUGUCUAUCAGCUGGAAUUAUGAAAACUAGGAAUUGGCAAAGUGCUCAGCUUCGGCAGUUGGAUCAGAAGCUGUGUUGCAGACAGGCAAGAGAGGUGAGAAACUAAGUUCUUUUUACAUGAGAUACUAGGAGGUACAUGAAUAUUGCCAUAGUUUAGUUUAUUGUAGGCAUAAGUACAGAUAUGACUCCUAGUACUGCAUCAAGCUUCCUUCCUUUUACAUUAACACAUUCCUGCCAUCUCAAAUCACCAGUACUGUCCCAUCGAGUGACUCAGGACACUUGAUGGGAUUGUUCCAUGCUACCCAGUAGGACAGUCAUGCAUGUACCACUAGUGGUUGAAGCCUGCAGGAAUGUAACAGAUUCAAAUCAGAGCUUCCCAGCAGUGAGACAUAUGAAUUAUGGUCCCAUUAUGACUUUCAGCUAUAGAAUUCUAAGCCUGCUUAACCUGUUAUGGUAUAUUUAGAUCAUCCUGGGUCCCUGCAUUCUUCUGAUAAUAGUAGCUCUAAUUUUGGGCACCAUCUAGGUGUUCUGCAUAUAUUAUUUCUAAUUCUCACACUAAUCCUUUGCAUAAGCAGUUUGGCACUCAUUUUACUGAUAAAAGCCAAGGUCCAUCCAGUUCACAUAAUCUGACUGAAGUCCAGAGCCAAGCCUGUUUUCAGAUCCUGGUCAGUCUGACUUUAGAAGUCCUUGAUCUUUUUGCUUUGUUGCAUGAUUAGUUUCAAAGAAAAUUUCAGAAUAACAAGAGACGCAUGGUCUCUUGCAUGGUCUCCAGCAAUUCUGAGCACCAUUCAGAUAGUCCCCAUACACUCCCUACCCUCUGCUUAAGAGUGGGUCUCCAUAGUAAUUCAGGCAGUUUGGGGCCCCAACAUGAAAUAGAUCUCCAGUGAUUGAGAGCUAAUGUCGCAUGGAAUGGCCAUUCUUGGUAACCAAAUGUCAACUGUGCUAUAGUGCUAUCUUCACCGCCAGAAACAUAUUCUCACAUUCAGUCUCUUCGAGGCCCCCCGGUAUGUACUCCUAUCUCAUUCAGAACAUUUAGGACCCAGAUUUCUUCUUCUUUUUCUUCCAUAUUUCUUAUUUUGUAGUAGAUAUUUAUAAAUGAAGCCAGACUCAAAUAUUUCAAGGAAAGAGACACUAUGGUAACCACUAUUAAGUCAGGUUAUCCUGUGAUGAAGCACUAGGUUGCUGAAAUUGUUAUGCUUUGACCUAUAUUGUUAUGCUGUUAUAUCCUCUUUUAUCUCAAUCUCCCCCUUUUUGUAAAAAAAAUUAUUGAUUUAUUUUAUUAUUUUUUUUAAUUAAGGGAAAAAGUAAAAAAAACUCAGCAGGAUAUAUUAUAGUAACUUUUUAAAUUUCCUUUUAACUUGAUUUGAAGCCCUGUAUUGCUCCCACCAUCUUGUUUUGACUGAUUUCACUCUGUUUGUUCUGUUUGAUAGUAUCAGUUUGAGGGUAUAGGCAACUACUUUGAAGGCAGUAAGAUUUACUAUGACGCCCAUUCUGAUUUGACUAUUAUCUUCUUUUGAAGUCCUGUAAUGUCUCCAAUGUUUAGGUUUUAUUAGUCUUGUUCUGCACUGUUUUGUUCAAUUUUAUUAUACCUAAUGAUAUAGGCAAUUCUUUUUAAGGUAGCAAGAGGCAUUAUGGUAACCAUUGUUGAUUACCUUGUAUUCUGUUUUUACAUCAUGUACUAUGUCCAUCCUUUGUUUUGACUGACUGCUUUGUUUUGUCAUAUUUGGUUUUAUUCUCUUCCAAAAAAAAGUAAUAAGAACUAUGGGAGUAAUAAAACCCAAAAUGUGUAAAUGUUGUUGUAAAAAGAGAGGGAAAAAAAGUGCUCUAAAGGAUACAACUGCAAGUGUGUUUAGGUGUGGUAAGAUAGAUGACCAUAUUACUAAAUUUUUGUUGGAUCAUUGAACACAACUGUUUGCAGUCUCACUGUUUGAAUGUCCACUUUGUAUGUUUUAAUCCUGUAACUUGAACAACUAUUUCUAAGAUGACAAUAUGUAAUGUAUUAACUAGUGAUACUUUUUUUGUGAAAUUCUGUAUUACUUGUACCUUUAUACUGUUUUGUUUUGUUUUGUUUUGUGCUCCUUUAAAUAAAAUUUAAAAAAAUAAA